rnacentral:rRNA from 1 species
UCCCUGACCCUUUAAGGGUCCUGAAGGAACGUUGAAGACGACGACGUUGAUAGGCCGGGUGUGUAAGCGCAGCGAUGCGUUGAGCUAACCGGUACUAAUGAACCGUGAGGCUUAACCUUACAACGCCGAAGGUGUUU